ACAUUUAUUAGUUUGAUACAUUUUAUCAAUCAUGUUUGUUACAUUUUAUCAUUCACACGGUUGGAUACUUUUUUGAAUUUAUCCUAUUAGAUACAUUUCAUGAUUUAUAACGUUGGAUACAUUUUAUCAUUUGAUUGUAUGAUAAUCAUUCAUACUAUCCUCCACAUCUCAACAGUCCUUUGCACAUUUCAUUGUAUACUUUCCAUUACAUAGAUACAGGUAUAAUCCAUACCACCAUUAAACACUUUGAAACAAUAUUCCAUAAGUUAAGCAUGUUGUAUUGUUCAUCCUGGCACAUUGGGCCGUCUAAAUCAACAUUCCAUUCUCUCAACUGGAUUAGACAGAUAUUGCAAUACAUGUACUUUAAUAGCGACGUUGGCUUACUGUAAUAUCCCUUAUUGCUACUUUCUGCAAACAAGUUCUUCAAUGUGUGUAUAUUCCAUGUUUAACUACCGUGUAAUUUGUUCCAAUUUUCAUUGUACCUCUUGUUAUAUCCAACGACAAAAUACAGUGAAUGUGUGGUGAUGGGAAUACAUGUUGUCUGUGGAAUUACUGCAAAAAUAUACAUCUGAGUGUCCUGACGUCAAAGAUGUUUCCUAGCUCCCAGAGAAAUGAUCAUUAAACCAAUCAAUUGUUGAUUAUUUGUGGGGAGUUCAGGUCCUCUUUGGUGUGCAGUAUUUCAAUGUGAACAUGAUUAUUCAGAGUGGGAGAAUUGUUUUAUAUUUUUCUACGUGUAUUUGGAUUUUUUAUAUCAUUAAAAUAUUCUCAUGUUAAUCCAGAAUUAUAUUGGAUUAGUACAAUAAAAAAAAUCAAAUUAU
rnacentral:sRNA from 1 species